rnacentral:rRNA from 1 species
GAUGAACGCUGGCGGCGGGCCUAAUACAUGCAAGUCGAGCGAACAGACGAGGAGCUUGCUCCUCUGACGUUAGCGGCGGACGGGUGAGUAACACGUGGAUAACCUACCUAUAAGACUGGGAUAACUUCGGGAAACCGGAGCUAAUACCGGAUAAUAUAUUGAACCGCAUGGUUCAAUAGUGAAAGACGGUUUUGCUGUCACUUAUAGAUGGAUCCGCGCCGCAUUAGCUAGUUGGUAAGGUAACGGCUUACCAAGGCGACGAUGCGUAGCCGACCUGAGAGGGUGACCGGCCACACUGGAACUGAGACACGGUCCAGACUCCUACGGGAGGCAGCAGUAGGGAAUCUUCCGCAAUGGGCGAAAGCCUGACGGAGCAACGCCGCGUGAGUGAUGAAGGUCUUCGGAUCGUAAAACUCUGUUAUUAGGGAAGAACAAAUGUGUAAGUAACUAUGCACGUCUUGACGGUACCUAAUCAGAAAGCCACGGCUAACUACGUG